rnacentral:lncRNA from 1 species
AAAAAUCAGAGCAAUAGAUCGAACAAGGAAGAAGAAGAUGGAGGUGGAGGAGAAGAUUGCAAAAAAACGAAGGAUUUAGAAUCUGCAAACAAAAUUCAAGAUCUGAGGAAUAUGAAAUCAACAGGUUUGACAGAUGAGAAUUUGAAAGGUUUUGUUGGAGAAACAGCGAAAAAACAACAGUUGAUUGACUUGGAUUUAAACAAAAAAAUUUCACAAUCAGGUUUACAAUUAAUUGAGCAAAAUUACAAUAGGACAAGAUCAUUUAUAAUAGAUGCAAAGAAAAGUAGUACACGAUCAAGUACUGCACAGUCAGGUAUUUUGAAGGAUUUAAGAGAGAGAGACAAAAACAUUGAGAAGAAGACAAUAUCAAAAGAUGAAGGACUUGGGUUACUGGAGCAAAAUUAUAAUACGAUGAGAUCAUAUAUGCUUGAAGAUGGCAAAGGUGAUACAAAAACUGGAAACACUCAAAGAGAUUCAGAAAUUGACAAGGGAAAGAGAAUAGCUGUUAUCGAGAAUGUAAAAACAAUGGAAAAUGAAAGAAUUCAAUUUGAAGAAGAUAUGUUAGGAGAACAGGAUAUGAACUAUGCAGAAGAAAUACAUCAAACCAAUGUUCUAUCACUAUUGGAUCAAGAUUUCAUUGAUGAUAAAUUUACUUCAUACACUAGUCUAAUGGAACAUAUUAUAUCUUCACAACCUACAAGAUGCAAUGAUUUGGAGGUUGAACAAAAUGGAAAUGAUUCUAUGCAGACUGUCAUUGAUGCAAAAAAUAUGUCUGAGGUGAUUCCAGAAAUUAAUUUUGAAGCUCAAGUUGAUUCUGUACAACCUUGGUCUCUAGAUUUGUUCAAUCUACAAGAAUCUAUUGAGCAACAGAGUUCAAUUCAGUCUAGUGAUAAAGGCGAAAGUACUACUGAAGUUGAUCCUGAUUUGAAUGAAGAAUUUCUAACAGAAGAAGAUAUUGAAUAG